GAAUACAAUGUGUAAUAAUAAUCCUUUACUGGGCAUUGAUGGGUUUUGGUUUUGUAUUUGAAAAGUGUCUUUUGUUUGAGCUUCUAUUUGGCUGUUUUUGGGGGUUAUGGCGUUCUUUUGUGUCACUUUUCCAGUCUGUUAGAAGUAUUUGCUUUUUAUCGUUUCUUUUUCACUCUGGUCAGUUUUGGAAUAUUCCCUCACACAUCAUGUUAUGAUUGUUUUACCCAAAUACCAUUCCAUUCGUCCUUUGCAUUUGAGCUCUAUAGUGGGGACCAUUUGGAGCGCAU
rnacentral:misc_RNA from 1 species